rnacentral:lncRNA from 1 species
UUCCCCAUCUGGUCUGGAUACAUACUGGAUCCCAGUGACUGCAGUGACCCUCUGAUCUGGAUACAGACUGGAUCUGAUGGCUACGGUAAACUCGGAAUAAGAGAGAAACAGACUAAUAUUAGCGUAGAUGCCAUUCUUCUAAUGAUGUAGCAAGUACAUCGGGUGAUAUGGGAAGUGUUCCUGGCUCCGGUUUACCUAUGAAGGAGAGGAUGGAGAUUCUGACGCUGAUUAUAUCCUUUCUUCAGAAUAUAUUAUCUCAUUAAUAUUGUGUGAUUAUUAAUCAAGUGUUUGAUCAGUAUUUAACCUCCAAGAUUGUUGUAUGAUGUGAUUAAAUGAAGAAAGCCAUCUAUAUAACUAUAGAUUGAUGCAUGCUUACUUAGAAACAUAUUAUUCCUUCCUAGAACUGACAGGUUUUACAUGUCAUGGACAUGUGUGUGUGAGUAUUCUUUUUCCUAGGGUCACCAGGUCAGCUAAAAAGGACCAGGGGGCCUCUUCUAUGUGCCAUGGGAGAGACAUGCUGUCUCCUAACAUGUCUCAACGGACAUUAGAUAUUAAGAACUCUGUUUUAUCCUGUAUUCUUAUUCUUUAAGAUUAAUGUCAGCCUGCCCUUUGUGUGUAACCAACCGUAGUGAUAAGAAGACUUGCCAGUGCAAGAAAACCUUGGGAAUAAGCAGAUAAGGGCUGAGUUUGUGUGUGUGUGCCCAUAAAGUGAUGAGACCAACAUUGCUGGAUUCCAGACCUAGGAUGAGGUGCCUUCUUCAACCGUGCUGACGCCUGCUAUAAUCACUGGAGAUAUGCUGAAGAUGUAUAUGACCAUAUGUGAAGAUUGUCUAAGUUUAUCUAGGUUUUGGAACCAAUCAGAUCGCUGCUGACCAGUGCUUUGACGCAUUUGAAGUCUUCUGUCUGGAGUAUAACUAUGACUGAUUUUGUAUUAUACGGCAGUUCAGCUUACGAACUCCUGCGAGGGUAUUGACGCUGACUUCUGCCUAUGAAACUGCAAACUAUUUCCUUAAGUAAAAUUAUUAUUAUUAAUUGAACUCAUCUCUGACUCCUGGUCUUGAUUACGACACCACCUGCUCCUUGGGUUUUAAACUGUUAUCCCCAACACCUAAUUAAUGCAGCCUAAAAAUCUUUUAACAGAUUUGAAUAUUAAAAGCAUAUUAGUAUGUUAUGUGUAAACCAGGUUAAACAGAUGGGUCUUUAAUCGAGAUUUAAACUGCAAGAGUGUGUCUGCCUCCCGAACAAUGUUAGGCAGGUUGUUCCAGAGUUUUGUCGCCCAAAAUUAAAAGGAUCUGCCACCCGCAGUUGAUUUUGAUAUUCUAGGUUUUUAGAACGUAGUGGAUU